GACGAACGCUGGCGGCGUGCUUAACACGUGCAAGUCGAACGGAAAGGCCCUGCUUGCAGGGUACUCGAGUGGCGAACGGGUGAGUAACACGUGGGUGAUCUGCCCUGCACUUCGGGAUAAGCUUGGGAAACUGGGUCUAAUACCGGAUAGGAACCAUCUUUAGUGUGGUGGUUGGAAAGUUUUUUCGGUGUAGGAUGAGCUCGCGGCCUAUCAGCUUGUUGGUGGGGUAAUGGCCUACCAAGGCGGCGACGGGUAGCCGGCCUGAGAGGGUGUACGGCCACAUUGGGACUGAGAUACGGCCCAGACUCCUACGGGAGGCAGCAGUGGGGAAUAUUGCACAAUGGGCGCAAGCCUGAUGCAGCGACGCCGCGUGGGGGAUGAAGGCCUUCGGGUUGUAAACUCCUUUCGCUAGGGACGAAGCUUUUUGUGACGGUACCUAGAUAAGAAGCACCGGCUAACUACGUG
rnacentral:rRNA from 1 species